CCCCUCCACCCAUGGAAACUAUUCAACCCCCUAUGGGAAAUAAAGCAAUUGUAUAAUUGAUUUGCCCAUGGAUGUUGGAUUGGAUCAUGGAAGCUGAGAUUGAUCUAUUGAUCUGCCAUCGACUGGACCAUGGAAACAGUUGAGAUUCAAAGGCUGGAGGAGAAGAUAGAUUCAAUCAUGGUAGUUUGAAUCUAUGUGAUCUCUAUAUCAGAUCGGACUGGCAAUUAUGGCAUAAAUAGAGGUCAAACGCUGGAGAAGAAGAUGACCAGGGAGAAGAUAAGUUGGAUCGUGUUAGUUUGUAUGUGUGUGAUUUAGCUUGAUUACUUCCGAGCUGAGCAGCAUAGGGAGGAGAUGAAAAUAUAUGGCAGGAUACUCUCACGUACAGAAGCUAGAAGGCCGUUGGAUCAAUUCUGCAAGAAGACACAGGCUAUUGGAUCGACUCUGCCGGAAGGCGUGGGUAUAUAUGAUGAUAAUCCCUUUGAUCCAUUCCAAAAAAUACAGGUACACAAAGAUCCAUUUUUUUGCCACACUAUAUUAGUAUCGGCUUGCAUAUUCUAUAGAGUUGCCACAAUGAGCAGUUUUGAGGUGCUGGCUCAUGGUGUCCAAUCUUAGACACUAUGAAGUCUCAGGUGCAUGCCAUCUAUUCCCUCAGGGAUCGGAAAGGAAGUCUGAGUUGAAAAUACGUAUAAAGAUCCAUACAUGGAGGUCUUCGAAGACUCAAAAGCAGACAACGAUUAUGGCUGGCAGAAGAUUAGACUGACAAGCCAACUUGAGUUCCCCAAAGUCCCAUAGGGUGUUGUAUAGCGUCGGACGUAUUGCAGAUGCUAAAGAGUUGCGAUGAUGAGUGGUACCCGAUGCAGGCCCAUGGCACCCAAUCUCAGAGGCCGUGAAUGGCAUCUAUUCCCUCUGGCGAUGGACAUGAAGUCUCAAUAGAAUACCAAGAUCCCAGGGCGGCCCGGGUGGCGGCGCCCCCUCCCCCGGCAACCCAUCCUCCCUCUCUUUCCCCCCUCCCCGCCGCCGCCAAUAGCCCCCGCCGGGCGAAGCCCGCGCGGAUCUGGCGGCGGCGGGCUGCCAUUUCCCGUGUGGCGCGUUCACGGGCUGGGGGAGCCCCGUGUGGCGGCGACCGGCGUGGCGUGACUCCGGCGCGCAGCGGUUCAUCCGGUGGAGGCUGGGGACGGUGGUGUGGAGGCGCUCGCUGCUCUCUCCCGGUGGCCUGCUCCGAAUCGACGGCGUCCCCCUGUCGGUGGGCGUCGGGGUGAGGCUGAGGGUCGACGAGAUGCGAUCCGGCGAAGGUGUUCUCUGUGAGGCGCGCGUGGUGGUGCUCGCCCUCCCCCUCUCUGCGUGAUCUGCAGGCGCUCGGCGUGCCUGCCGGCACGUUCCUGGUGGGGGCGGCGUGGGCAGGCUGGAUCCGGCUGGAUUUGGCCUGCGGUGGACCGGAUCUGGUCAUGUGUGGCGGCGGGCUGCAGUGGACCUUGCUCUGCGGUGGUGCAUGAAGCAGAGUAUCGCGGUGUACCGGUGCUCCUCGAAGGUGGUCUGCUCACUUGGGUGAAAGCCUCUGCUCCGACCGGAGCCGGCGAUGGCGGCGCCCGCGGGUGUCGCUUACCUCCUUGGAGGCGUCGCUGUCAAGGUGACUUUCCCUUCGAAGCUCCAGGGGAAACCCUUGUUCCUGGUUCUUCCGAAACGGGCGAUGGCGGCGCAUUUUUGUGUCGCAAUCCUUCUUAAAGGCAUCGUUUUGGUGGAUUUGUGUGGUCGCUGCUUUCUGCGGGUCGGAUGGUGGUGGUGGUGCGACUGGCUGGGGUCGACGGUGGUGUGGUCGGUGUCGGUGAGGAGGUGCUGCUUUGCUCAUGUCUUCUAGGCUUGACCAUUCAUUGGAGUGGUUUGAUUCUUCCAUCAGAAGCCGGGUUAGCGGGGUGGGAUCCUCUCUGGACCACCUCGUUCCUGUACGACACCUCUCCCCUCUACGGGGUGUUGUUGGGUGGCGACCAGACGACCAACGUUCAAGGCUCUCCUUGAUUGGUCAGAUGAAGAUGGAAGUUGAGACCUCAGGGGAAACCCCUAGCACAGGUCCUCCUGGUGCGGAUGAUGGCGGCGCAACCGACGUCGCGGCCCUUGUUGAAGGCAUCAUCUCGGGGUCUGCUUGGUUGACGUGUGGGUGCUGCUGCAGGGAUGUUGGUGGUGGUGGUGCGACCGGAUGGGUCGACGAUGGUAUGUGGUCGUCUGUGGUGGUGUUUGUCAGUGUCGCCCCUGUUGCUGUGCAUGCUCAAGACCUCCAUGGCUGCCAUUGUGGUGCGGCGAGCUUCGUGCUCUUGGCGUUGUCCCGGUUCAUCUUUGCUCAAUGAUGCCACAAGUUUCCUCCCCAACUUGCUAAUCGUUUCCGAUUCUUCAUGGCGGAGUUCCCCGUCAAGGUUCGUGCUAGUCACUCGUUGAUGUGGAUGCUCCUCUGUUGCGCAGUGGUGCUCGGUACGCACGCCAGUUUGGUGCGUUAGGCCGCUUGUCAAGUCUUGGUAUUGUGACCCCUCGAUGACUCCCCUCAUCAACUUGUGCCUCUUGUGGUGAUGUUCUUCGGGUUGCUAGCUAGGCGUGCCCUGUCUUGGGCGUCUUUUGUUUUGGUUUCUCUUCUUUUACCCUCUCUUGUUCGGUUUUCGGCCCGGUUUUCCUCAUAAAUAGGGUCUAAUUGUCUUGGUUUUCGAUCCAAUUUUCCUUAUAAACCGGAUCAAUAUCUUGGCUUUAAGGCCACUUUGAAAUAUAUUCAGGUGGGGAGCCUUUCCCCCCCGGUGACCAUUUCAAAAAAAAAAUAGAAUACCAAGAUGAAGAGUCAUACAGGGAAGUUUCCAAUGAAUCAGAAGCAGUCAACGAUCAUGGCUAUAGUAGAUUGGGACGACAAGAUUGAUCAAAAAAAGCUUUUUUAUUUGUUUCGGCUAACUAACUAUAUAUGUAUAGGAUUUUACCAAUAAUUAUGCAAUUAGAUUUAUGUUUACUGAAUCAGCUACUAGGAGGUUGCUUUAUUUCUGUAAAAAAUAGAGAUGCCUUUUCCUGAUAUGAAUGUGUCUCUAUCAGCUUUACUAGAUAUACUCGAAAUCGACAAAGCCGCCAUCCUGUGAUUUUUCGUAGCAGAUUUUAAUAUCUACAAGUUCAUCAUGACUGGAAGUUUCUUAUAUCAUGAUUUGCAUUAGGUUGAAUUUGUAAAUCUAGAGGUUCAUCAGGAUCAGGGCACUUCCCUAGGCACAUUGUAGCUUCGAUCAGGGAAGUACAUUAAAACCAAGAUGCCUUCCGCAGCCUCAGCUACAGUGCGAAGACAUGUUUCUUUGGGUGCAUCGCACUUCUGAUGUAAAAAACUCUUGCUUUGCGACCUGUUCAUUGUUUUUACUUCUAGCAUACAUUUUCCUUCCAACCAGUUUUUUUCAUGUACAAUGACUCCUCGACUAACGAACUCACAUUGUGGCAAUUUUUCGAUGGUGAUAUUGCGUGGCUAAUGCUUCUGAUUGAACCGCUAUAUACCUUCCUCUUCGCUCUGAUAGACGGGACUUUAUGCACAGCAAAUGCACUAUUAUCUUGCCCCUAAUACUGUAAUUACAUACUAUAUUUUCUAGCGAAUAAGAAUGUCAUAUUAUUUCAGUUAUAUCAUCUAAUUACUUUUUCUAUGAACACUCCAGUAAUUUGUUAUCUCAGUGGGCACACUUUAUAGUUCUUGGCCAUGUUAAUAAUUCCGUGCAUUGUUUAAUUCGCCUACAUUCAUACAUUAUUGUUUCGGAUGCCAAAGUGGAAUUCAGGUUAGUAUUUUUUAUCAUCCUAUUUAGUCAAAUUUUGGUCAGGUAUUCUAUCAUGCAACUAUACAUAUUACUAGGUACAAACUGUUGCUCUUUUGCAAGCUCUCUCAACUGCUCAAAAUUGGGGAUAGUUGGUCAACUAGUAUUUUAUUUGCCAAUUUACCAUUUUGUUUUUGUUCAAAAUACGUUGGAGUGCUACUUUGAUUGGAUGGGAAUCAAAGCGCACAAGGAGCCUACACAAUUAGGAUAAUUCCUAUGCAAUGCGAAUUAAUUAUGAGAACUAAUGGAACUAAUGAGGUGGUAAUGACUAAAGUUUGUGAUGGUGCAAUGUGUUAGAUGGAGUUUCAAGCACACAAACAACUGCAAGUGUCUCCUAGGAUGUUAGAGUUGUUUCCUUCUCACUUCGCACAAAUAACAUCAAACAUAGCUUAUGUUUGAUAAACUAAUUAAUGACAUAUUUUUUCUGGAUAAAAUCCAAUUUUAUUGCUUAAUUGUCGCUUCCAUUUUCUUUGUAAUAAUAUGAACUCGGAACCAUCUAUAUUGUUUAAAAUGGAAAAAAAAUAUUACACUACCAGUACAUCUUGACAUGAGGUUUUCACUGUUUUCAUACUAGGAUAUUCUGUUUGCCUAUUUUAAGGCAUAGGUCUCCCUGUUUUAAAUUUUUGUUUCAAAAAUUACAAUAUAUCAUUGUUUUAAAUUGCUUUCUUGACCUCAUUGGGAGUCUGGGAGAUGAUAUCCUCGGCUGCUUAAGCCUUAGUACUUAGUGCUAUAAAUUAUCAGAUGAAAUCCUUGACUGCUUUCGUCGUGAAAUGAAUUCCCAGUUCUACAAAAAGGUGAAAAAACAGAAUGUAAAUUACAAAAUUCCACGGGAAAAGGGAUGUACAUAUGUCACCUAAAGUUGUUUGAAUAGUUGGAUGGUUGUUGCGAGUUAAGUAAUAGAUAUUUGUUUACGCAUUCCAGCGUCAGACAUGUAAGCAUUUUUAAUAAUGCGACUUCAUCAAUGAUUCUUCUUAUGGAGUUAUUUUGAAAUUAAUUCAAAAAAUAGAAUCCAAUGAUAAAUUAUUUUCUUAAAGUAUCUUACAAGUUAAGAAUCUCAUAUAAAUCAUGCAUGCGUAGUAAAUACAAGGCAACACAAAUGGCAAGAAUAAUUAUGUUAUGCAAAAUCUCAAAGACAAGCCCAUGCGGAUGCAAGGGUUGACGACUAGUACUCUCUAAAGUACUAAAACUGACGACUACAUUCCUGCAUAUUUAGAUAUAUAAAACUAACUACUAAAGUAUUAAAACUGACGGUUCUAAUCCAAACUGGAAGUAUUGCCUACAGAAAUUCAGAACCUUGGUAGGUGUUGAUGAUUCAGACCUUAGUUACUUCGGACUUCAGAAUUGCAUUUGUGCAGCUAUUCUCUAGGAGAAGUCGUGCAAUACAAACAUAUUAAUAAGGUUCUUCUUGAAUACGCAACAAACAACUACGUCAGACAAAGAUCUGGAGUACCUGCUCAUAUCUGGUGAGCGGGUAGUCUCUUGCCCCAAACGCCCAAGCUCCUGGUGAUAUCCUACUCCACUCGGUUUCUUCUUCUUCCAUGCCUACACAGCUCUAGCUUUUUUUUAGUUUAGCCCGUCUAAAUUUCUAUCAUAUAAAAUCUUAUGAAACAAUGUGCUACUAUUCUUAUUAUUGAACUAUGUCAAUCUGUUUUUUUUUAAGUGGGGGAGUGAUGAAUCGAACAAGGAGGAAGGCCGACGUGUUUGUUCUUCAACCAUUUCCCACUGAAACCCUGAAAAUUGGGGGGAAUCAUGGCUGGAGCAUAUGUGAACUUGGCCUCCGGUCAUUGAGUCAGGUUUCUAGUUUUGCUUGGGAGAGUAGCAUGUGCUUCCCAUUUGUUUAAUUAAAUAAUUGGUAUCUAAUUCAUGUGAACCAGAUCGUGCUUGGGAGAGUAGCAUGUGUUUGAUUUAGUUACAUACAUAGACCUUUUGAACAUUUGGCUUGGCUGUUUGGAUCUGCUUUUAUGCAGGGAGACUGUAUUCCAACCAUAAAACUGAUACAACGGCCACACUAAUAUGACCGCUGUACUUUCAAAUCGACCAUCUGAUUAUUCAGGAGAUAUGUAUCAAAGGACCUCUAUGUUCCCUAUCAUGUGUAUUUAACAAGUAAAUAUUCAGCUAUUCUCGAUUUAUCUUGCUAAUGACCAUUUGUACCUUUUCAUUUAUUUUUGCUUAUCCAUUUGUUUUGUAUAAUAUAUGCAUGUUGUAGAAUAAUGAUGAGCUGAAAAUUGACACCAUUCACAGAGCUAGACGAAGCUUAUGAAUGUAGCAUGGGAACACAUAGUUGACUUAAAUUAAUAUUGUGCUUGCUUAUAUGAACCAUUUAUUCACAAGGAUUAUCUUGUGGUGUGUAGGCAGUGCGACUGUAUGUUACAAGGUUGUAUCAUUUGUACAACACACAUAAUGAUAUAAGCUCGUGGUGUUAGUACUAGACAUUCUUUUGUUAUUUUUACUUAAUUCCUUGGGUAUACUAUACUGCAUUUUGUCUCCUAAUAAAUGUCAAGAAAGAAAAACCUUGCUUGGAUUAUCGUAUGGGUUGUAAGAAAAAUAUGUGAAUGCAUUAGGAACUGUAUACAUAUAGGUAUGAUGCAACUCUUUUGAAUCUAGAGAUUGUAUGACACAUGCCUCAUAUUUGUAUGGGACUGUACACCUGAUCUCCUAAAAGUAUUAUGUACUGCAGAGAUUUUUAUUUCUUUUCAGUUUGCCUUGGUUGUUAUUUAUGCCUAUAGCUUCAUGUAGAAUGUAUGGGAUUGUAUUUCAGGCACCUUUUUCAAUUGUUAGUUGAGGUGCUUCUGAUUUUCUGAAUGAAUACAUAGGUAGUCUUGAAGAUGCUCUGUUCUUAUUUUUCAAAUCUUUACUUUGCUUAUUGUCCUUAUUCUGGUUCUCCUUGGCAUCUUUCUAUCAGUGGAGGGCCUUGUUUUCAAAUAGCAGGGAUGGAGGGACAAAAAAGAUGUCUAGCUUGCAUGUGUGCUGUAACAUUAAUCAGUGCAUUGGGCCCAACGUUUUCUAUCAUUUGAACCUUGAUGAUUUAUCUCAUUUGAACAUAAUCUAACCCCUCUAAUUUUUGUCAGUACAUGAUUGUACACCUCCUAUUCCCGCUUAAUUGUGUGUUCAUUUUGUUAAUCAAGAAGCAUCUGAUUUUAUGGCUGGGUACGUUGAAAAUAUAUAAAACCUUUCUUCUUUUGGAUAAUUUGUUUCCUUUUGACCAAUCUUUGUUACUUGCGUACACAUCUGUGCAUAGCGUGCUGCUCCAGCGCGACUGCUUCGUGUGCUGCCUCGAGUCGCGCCGCCACUAUGCCUGCGCCAAGACGGAGGCCGCUGCCACUCUCGACGCCCUUUGCUGCGCGCUCUCGCCGGCGGCGUUCACAAAGCCUUGUCGCGGCGCUGCAAGUGUUGCCCCCCCUCCUCCCCAAGGGCAAGGUGAAGGAAGGUGCCUGUGUGGUUUUUUUGCACCUUGCAGCGAGGAUUGUUGUAUCCAACCUGCGCAAAAAUGCCAAGAAGUCCUUCUCGGAGACAUAAGCCACGGCGCAUGUUUCUGCCAUGAUUUUCUUCGGUUGGAUUUCGUAGAUUUAAGUGUUGAAAAAUUAUGGACUGUGGAUACAGGAUUAAGGACAUGUACCCGCACUACAACGAGAGAUCUGGACUGCUUCUUUGUGGCUUUCAAACUUGAAAUGUUUGUUUGGAAGUUGGUUUAGUUUUU